GCUCGUAGGCGGCCAGUUGCGUCUGCUGUGAAAUCCCGGGGCUCAACCCCGGGCGUGCAGUGGAUACGGGCUGGCUAGAGGCAGGCAGGGGAGAACGGAAUUCCCGGUGUAGCGGUGAAAUGCGCAGAUAUCGGGAGGAACACCGGUGGCGAAGGCGGUUCUCUGGGCCUGUACUGACGCUGAGGAGCGAAAGCGUGGGGAGCGAACAGGAUUAGAUACCCUGGUAGUCCACGCCGUAAACGUUGGGCGCUAGGUGUGGGUCCCUUCCACGGGGUCUGUGCCGCAGCUAACGCAUUAAGCGCCCCGCCUGGGGAGUACGGCCGCAAGGCUAAAACUCAAAGAAAUUGACGGGGGCCCGCACAAGCGGCGGAGCAUGUUGCUUAAUUCGACGCAACGCGAAGAACCUUACCAAGGUUUGACAUGGACGGAAAUCCUCCAGAGAUGGGGGGUCCUUCGGGGCCGUUCACAGGUGGUGCAUGGCUGUCGUCAGCUCGUGUCGUGAGAUGUUGGGUUAAGUCCCGCAACGAGCGCAACCCUCGUCCAAUGUU
rnacentral:rRNA from 1 species